AAAGAACUGAAACCACAGAAAAGUGCUGUGUCAGGUAUGUAUUUAAGUAAAAGUAGUGAGACAUCUGCCUUACUGGGACACUCAGAUCCAACUGGGUUCUAAUCCUGGCUACAUUAUCCAAGUACUUCCUUUGGAAAUAAAUUUGAGUUCUUAUUAACAUUACGUUGAUACUGUUCACUGGGUUUAGUUUCACAUGUAAAUAGGUACUGCAUUCAGUAUACUCAAAGUAAUCAUAGUGCUUGCCAGGUACUUUGCUAGGUGCUAGAGAUACAAAAAAUAAAAACUGUUCUUGCUGAUAAAAAAAUCAAAAAUUAGAACAAAGUUUUAAGAGUGUUUUAAAUAUUCCAGAAAAGUCACAUAUUUGGUGUUUAAAUAGGAAUUCAUACCAGGGACAAAGCAGAAAAUGGAUUUUCAUGUGUUGCUUAAAUGUACUAUUUUCCUUUCCAUUUCAAAUAAUAGACCUUGAAGCUGAUGAUGCUAAGGACAGUAUACCACUGUCUUCAAGCCCUCCUGCUACACGUUUCCCAGAUGAAACUGAAAUUACAAACCCAGUUCCUAAAAAGAAUGUGACAGUGAAGAAGACAGCAGCAAAAAGUCAGUCUUCCACCUCCACUACCGGUGCCAAAAAAAGGGCUGCCCCAAAAGGAACUAAAAGGGAUCCAGCUUUGAAUUCUGGUGUCUCUCAAAAGCCUGAUCCUGCCAAAACCAAGAAUCGCCGCAAAAGGAAGCCAUCCACUUCUGAUGAUUCUGACUCUAAUUUUGAGAAAAUUGUUUCAAAAGCAGUCACAAGCAAGAAAUCCAAGGGGGAGAGUGAUGACUUCCAUAUGGACUUUGACUCAGCUGUGGCUCCUCGGGCAAAAUCUGUACGGGCAAAGAAACC
rnacentral:sRNA from 1 species